GGAUUUCAGAUGUUCUGAAACAUGCUGCAACAGUUUGAUUUGCAAGCAGCGAUGCGAUGGAAGAGACGCUGAAGAAUGGGAAUUUAAAUAGACCGCAUGUGAUAGGUGUCAACACUGGAUUGGUACACGUCAGGAACAGCUGACUGUCGGCUGAAGCAAUCUUGACUAACGUGGCCUGCCUGAACUAAUGUGAUGCUGAAUUUUAAUAAAAGAUAGGAAACCUGAGGUGAAUACCAUUUAAGGGUAAAGAAUAUAUUUAAAUUGAACUCAGGGCGCUGUCUCUUUCACAGAGUCAAAAAAGUGCUACACACUGUAUCUGGAUGCUACUGGUUGUCACAAUUUGCUACUGUGAAGGAGCACAGAGCAAGGAAUGAGGAGACCAGGAGUACAUCAACAAGGAAUUUAUUCAGAUGUCAGGGAAUCACACGUAGCACAAGGAGUAGAUAUAAACAAAACACGGGACAGACUCUGACAUAACGACCCCUCCAGAAGGCGUGACCUCAUGCCACAUAACAUCCAACGGGGAGGAGGGGUGGGCACUCUGGAGGUCCCUCAGGACAGACAUGGGACAGUGGUAGAACCCGUGGGGGGAGUCAUGGCGGAUCAGGGGACUUGGGAGGCCAUGGUGGAUCUGUGGACUCGGAAGCCAUGCCGGUUCUAGAGACUCUGGAGGCCAUGGCGGAUCUGGGGACUCGGGAGGCCAUGGCAUAGCAGCCUCUGAGGCCGCUGUCCAUGCCCCCGCCUCUGCCACUUUACAGGGCUAUAUUUAGGGUCUGGAGCCCUCCCUAGGUUUUACGUGCCCUCCGUGGGCUAUAUUCGGGAACAGGAGCCCUUCCUGGGCUGAACUGGGCAUCGGGAGCCCUCCUUGGGCUUAACUCUGGAUCAGGAGCCCUCUGUGGGCUGUACUCUGGAACAGGAGUCCUCCGUGGGCUUAAUCGGGAUUGGGAGCCCUUCCUGGGCUUGACUGGGGAUUGGGAGCCCUCCAUGGGCAAUACUCUGGGACUGGGCCAACACUGGAGUGAAUUCUGGGGCCUGGGUCGACACCCUUCUCCUCACCCCUAGUUUCCUUUUCUGGAUCAGGGGGAAAAGGCGUCGUCUGGAAUUAUUACCCUGGUUAUCAGUCCCUGCAUGCUAGAUACAAAGAACACAUACUACACCAUG
ensembl:lncRNA